UCCAACGGCACUUCUCCCACUUUCCUGCCUCCCAUAGACCCCUCUCUCCCAUCCCUGCCCCCCAGCUCCUCCCCAGCACCAUUGCCAGGGCCAGCCAUGGCCAUGACAUAGAUCCUCUGACCCACAGCCCUCACCAGCCCAGCCCUGCUCAGCCACCGCAGCGUUCGGGGGAGGGAAGAUCAUCAGCUCCACUGGGAGAGAAAUCUUCUACAAGGAGAAAGAAAAAAGAAACCAGUGACUUGCAGCUCGUUACCUGUGCCAGGCACAAGCAAGGCUGAUGCAGGCUGUGUCAGGUCCCUGGCUCUCCACUGGCCCGGGCUGGGACCUCUCAUCUUCUGACAUCCCAUGAGAGGUGAGGCAAAGUACCCCAAGAUCUAGUCUGGGUGAACAGAGGCAAAAAGCAGCUGACAUCCCUCAUACCUGAGGCAGGUGCCAGGCUCCCUGCCUGCCGUGGCUGCCUGCACCAGCUGGAGAGAAAGCCAAGGCAGAGCCCGUGGUGGGUGUUGACAUCGUGGCUGAUGCUGCAGGACAGAGUUGAAGUCUCACUUGGAGAAAGGCCUGAAGGCACUGCCCAGAGGUAGUCAUUCCUCUACCAGCUGCAGAAAGCAGAAAUCCGAGGUCAGGUUUUAAUGUUGUUAUCUGUGAAGAACAAAAGCAAAGGACAUGGAUCAGUGGGAGAGGGGAUGAAGGCCUGGAGCCAACAGGAUGGCUUGUUCCAAGAGUGAGGUUUGUAUGUGACCCUCACUGGGCAGCCCAAGUACUCCUUUUGUGUAAUAUAUCCAAUCACCAGUGCCUACACCACAGCCAGCCAUCCAAGGCUUCAAGAUCUACUCAGUCCUGCUGGGAUCUGGGCUCCUGGAAAACCCCAGCACUGAGUUUUCCUUUUUAAAAAGCCCAAGCCAAAACUGAAACGUUUCCACAAAAUCAUUUCAUUUUGAUUCCCUGCCUGAUUUAGAAUGUUUCACUUCCCAAACAUACUUUAGAAAUCCCUGAAAGUCCACUUGGAAAUUAAAUGUGAACUUUGGUCUAAUACUGGUGACAACUUUGUUUGUCCAACAUCAGUUCUUUCUGUUGCCCUCAGAGCCCUGCACACCUCGUUAGCUGGUGGGACUACUGACAUGUCAUGGCACAUUAUGAUAUAAUAGGAUGGCAAACUCUGUCAUUUCUUCUAUUUUAAACAUGAUUUUAAAGCUUCUGAUUCGAUUUUCUGCGCUUUUCAUUUCGCAAAUGGGAACAUUUGCAGUGUUUGAGAACCUUAUUGUAGCCAGGCAACAGUUUCAGAUGGUUUUUAUUUCUAAAAUCAGCUGCUACCCUAAUUGGCUCUGGGCUCUUCUCACUUCCUCUCUUUUGGAAGUAUUAGAACAUCUAACUGUUUCAUUAGGCCAGUGAAUGUUAAUGCCUUUGAUUAAUAAAAUAAAGUGAGCAUGUAAA